rnacentral:rRNA from 1 species
UCAGAUGAACGCUGCGGCAUGCUUACACAUGCAAGUCGAACGGCGAGCGCGGGGCGAACCUGGCGGCGAGUGGCGAACGGGUGAGUAAUAUAUCGGAACGUACCCAAGAGUGGGGGAGUAACGUAGCGAAAGUUACGCUAAUACCGCAUACGAUCCAAGGAUGAAAGCAGGGGACCUUCGGGCCUUGUGCUCCUGGAGCGGCCGAUAUCUGAUUAGCUAGUUGGUGAGGUAAAGGCUCACCAAGGCCACGAUCAGUAGCUGGUCUGAGAGGACGACCAGCCACACUGGAACUGAGACACGGUCCAGACUCCUACGGGAGGCAGCAGUGGGGAAUUUUGGACAAUGGGCGCAAGCCUGAUCCAGCAAUGCCGCGUGAGUGAAGAAGGCCUUCGGGUUGUAAAGCUCUUUUGUCAGGGAAGAAACGGUGGAGGCUAAUAUCCUUCGCUAAUGAUGGUACCUGAAGAAUAAGCACCGGCUAACUACGUG